GAAUCUUCGGCAAUGGGGGCAACCCUGACCGAGCAACGCCGCGUGAGUGAAGAAGGUUUUCGGAUCGUAAAGCUCUGUUGUAAGUCAAGAACGGGUGUGAGAGUGGAAAGUUCACACUGUGACGGUAGCUUACCAGAAAGGGACGGCUAACUACGUGCCAGCAGCCGCGGUAAUACGUAGGUCCCGAGCGUUGUCCGGAUUUAUUGGGCGUAAAGCGAGCGCAGGCGGUUUGAUAAGUCUGAAGUUAAAGGCUGUGGCUCAACCAUAGUUCGCUUUGGAAACUGUCAAACUUGAGUGCAGAAGGGGAGAGUGGAAUUCCAUGUGUAGCGGUGAAAUGCGUAGAUAUAUGGAGGAACACCGGUGGCGAAAGCGGCUCUCUGGUCUGUAACUGACGCUGAGGCUCGAAAGUGUGGGGAGCGAACAGGAUUAGAUACCCUGGUAGUCCACGCCGUAAACGAUGAGUGCUAGGUGUUGGAUCCUUUCCGGGAUUCAGUGCCGCAGCUAACGCAUUAAGCACUCCGCCUGGGGAGUACGACCGCAAGGUUGAAACUCAAAGGAAUUGACGGGGGCCCGCACAAGCGGUGGAGCAUGUGGUUUAAUUCGAAGCAACGCGAAGAACCUUACCAGGUCUUGACAUCCCGAUGCUAUUUCUAGAGAUAGAAAGUUACUUCGGUACAUCGGUGACAGGUGGUGCAUGGUUGUCGUCAGCUCGUGUCGUGAGAUGUUGGGUUAAGUCCCGCAACGAGCGCAACCCCUAUUGUUAGUUGCCAUCAUUCAGUUGGGCACUCUAGCGAGACUGCCGGUAAUAAACCGGAGGAAGGUGGGGAUGACGUCAAAUCAUCAUGCCCCUUAUGACCUGGGCUACACACGUGCUACAAUGGUUGGUACAACGAGUUGCGAGUCGGUGACGGCGAGCUAAUCUCUUAAUGCCAAUCUCAGUUCGGAUUGUAGGCUGCAACUCGCCUACAUGAAGUCGGAAUCGCUAGUAAUCGCGGAUCAGCACGCCGCGGUGAAUACGUUCCCGGGCCUUGUACACACCGC
rnacentral:rRNA from 1 species